rnacentral:rRNA from 1 species
UCUUCAUGCCUUUAUGUCCUGGCUACACACGUGCUACAAUGGUUGGUACAGAGGGCAGCUAUAUAGUGAUAUAAUGCAAAACUCGAAAGCCAAUCCCAGUUCGGAUUGUAGGCUGCAACUCGCCUACAUGAAGUCGGAGUGCUAGUAAUCGCGGAUCAGAAUGUCGCGGUGAAUGCGUUCCCGGGUCUUGUACACACCGCCCGUCACACCAUGGGAGUGAUAAUACCCGAAGCCUGUGACCUAAUUGAGGAGCAGUCGAAGGUAGGAUUGAUGACUGGGGUGAAGCCGUAACAAGGUAGCCGUAUCGGAA